rnacentral:rRNA from 1 species
GACGAACGCUGGCGGCGUGCCUAAUACAUGCAAGUUGAGCGAUGAAGAUUGGUGCUUGCCCCAAUUUGAAGAGCAGCGAACGGGUGAGUAACGCGUGGGGAAUCUGCCUUUGAGCGGGGGACAACAUUUGGAAACGAAUGCUAAUACCGCAUAACAACUUUAAACAUAAGUUUUAAGUUUGAAAGAUGCAAUUGCAUCACUCAAAGAUGAUCCCGCGUUGUAUUAGCUAGUUGGUGAGGUAAAGGCUCACCAAGGCGAUGAUACAUAGCCGACCUGAGAGGGGGAUCGGCCACAGUGGGACUGAGACACGGCCCAAACUCCUACGGGAGGCAGCAGUAGGGAAUCUUCGGCAAUGGACGAAAGUCUGACCGAGCAACGCCGCGUGAGUGAAGAAGGGUGUCGGAUCGUAAAACUCUGUUGGUAGAGAAGAACGUUGGUGAGAGUGGAAAGCUCAUCAAGUGACGGUAACUACCCAGAAAGGGACGGCUAACUACGUG